rnacentral:rRNA from 1 species
GAGCAGAGGAGGCAAGCGUUGUCCGGACUGACUGGGCGUAAGGCGUCCGCAGGUGGUCGUGCGAAGUGCGCUGUGAAAGCGGCCCGCUCAACGGGCCGAGGCCAGCGCAGACUGCGCGGACUGGAGGUCGGGAGAGGUCGGUGGAAUUGCCGGUGUAGUGGUGGAAUGCGUAGAGAUCGGCAGGAACACCCAAGGGGAAGCCAGCCGACUGGCCCGCAC